CUUUCCUCCACCAUAAGGAAAUCGCAUCACAACACACAUCUCUGCAAAGCACACAGAGAAGAGGUACCACCAAGUGAACAAAUCAUAUCACCCAUUGCACAGGAAGCGCUGGUAAAUCAGCCAAAUUCCCAGCGAAUGGCGAGAUCCUCUAGCUUUUCGGCCCCGCUGGAGCACCCACGAACAGGAAAACAGCAGCCCUAGCUCCGCGUCAGCGGCAUUGCCCCCAAGGCUAGUACUAUGUUGAAAAGCUAGUACUAACCUGAUUCACUGCUGAAUCCAAAUAGAGUUGACACACCUUAGUGAUUUCUGCACAUCCGAGGAGAUUGGGGG
rnacentral:lncRNA from 7 species